ensembl:lncRNA
AUGCCACAAUCAGUGCAUAGACCAUCUGAAGCACAUAGAACACAAAAACAGCAAGAAAUGGCUGGAAUAAAUGGUUCCAAUCUGAUUGCCUGGGUUUCUGCACAAUUUCCAGGAGUCAGGAUGCACAGAUGUUUAUCGCUGUGUAGAUUAUGUAGAUCUCAGCACCGCCCCACCGGCCCGGUGAGACCAGCAUACUCAACACAACAGCUGGGAGAUGAUGCUAUAAACUGCCAUACAAAUCUCAAGCUGCACUGCAGUGUGCAAUUAUCAUCAGGUUCAUUGUCACACAUCCACUGCAUUUUUUUAAUUGAAAAAACUAACGUCUCAAGCUGAUAAACACUGAAAGGAAGCACUCAGCGGCCAUUCAGAGGGAUGAAGAGAGAGCAAAAAAGUCGAUGGCGUCCGGUGAAUGUGAGCAGAGUCACCAUCUUAUAUUGGCCAAUCAAUCAACCUAUCUGACAGUUAUUACGUUAAGCAGCCAAUCAGAUUGCUCAGCCUCUUUGCCUGAAGGCUGAAUAUACAGGAAAUGAUGUGAUCACUUGUGGAAGUAGGACGUGGCACACUGACACAGCUGGUGAGGAGUGCAGACCUGGAACACAUUAGAGAAAAUUAUUGUUUAUCUGUAAAAGAGAAUGAAGCGAAUGAUAGUGCUUAAUCUUUGAAAUCUGCUUUAUUUUAACCAGAAUUGUGUGGUUUCUUUGUAGUUUUGAGGCCAUGUAUCUAAUAUAUACACAUUUAAAUCUGACAUUUUUUCCUCUUCUAAACAGAUCAAAAUUAUUAGUGACUUGUCCUGCACUACAGAUUUUUGUCCAAUGAGAGGCUAGCUAUUAUAAUAAAGACCCAUCCCCAAAACAACUUGUAACCAGCAAAUUGUUCAUGGCUGUGAAAUAACUAAUGUCUAUUAGUUUUUUGUUUGUUUGUUUGUUUUGUUUUUUGUUUUUGCUGCAGGGAUGAGCACUUAAGAAAGUACCCUUCCGUUUCCUGUCCCUGUAAUAAAUAAGUAAACACAGGAAAAAUAACUUUUUUAUUCCUUCAUAACAACAAAAUACAACAAAACAAUAUAUGGAUAAAUAUAUAUACACUACGAUAUACACUACCGUUUAAAAGUGUGGGGUCAGCAAGAUUUUAUUAGAAUAAAAAAAAGAAAUUAAUAAUUGUAUUCAGCAAGGAUGCAUUCAACUAAUUAAAAACAAGUGACAAUAAGGACUUUUACAUUUUACAAAAACAAAAUAUGUUGCAAAAGGGAUAAAAAUAAAUAAAAUUGAAUGCAGAUCCAUGUGUGAGAUGACAGUAAAAAUAAAUAUAAUAAAUAUACCAGAAUAAAAUAAACCUUGUUAUAAUUGUGCUUUAUAAUUAAUAAAUACCAACACAACUUAUAUAUUGCCUUAUAUAUACUUAUAAUAGUGCUUACUGGAGUCUCGUCAAUAGGUCACGCAUGUGCUGAUAGCUCUGAAGUAAACUAACCCUGAAACAUAACCUACUCCAGAGCAGGUUAUGAUCAGAGAAUAAGUUGCUAUGGUUACUUACAUACCUUGAAAGUUUCCUCCUGUUUUGGAAACGAAUGCUGAGUUUAUCCGCUUACUUGCCCUUAAACAUACAGUAUGUCACAUAUCCUGUUUUCUGGAAUACCCCCCAGGACUCAGGUUUGUCUUGUUUUUUUUAAUAAAAACACAUAAAUAGAAACGAAAAGGCAAAAAAAAAAAAAAAAAGCAUCCCCAAUCAGUUUAUAUUUUUUAUACCAAAGAUUGUAUAACUAUGAUAAAUGUAUGAUAUUUUAAAUCUUACCGACUCCAACCCUUUGAAUGUUAGUGUAUAUACAAAAAAAUAUAUAUUUAAAAAUUAAAAUUAACAAAUAAAAUUAAAUUUGCAAUUGACCUAAAUCUUAUUGAACAUGAGAGCUUUUUAUUAGAAGAGCUUUUCAGAAAUUAACAAAAGAAAACUUUUAAAGAAAAUAUUUUAAGGGAUCUUUAAGGAAAUAAUACUAUAUGCAAAUAAAAUAUGUUUGCUAUUAGACAUUCAAAUGUCACUCAUAAUCAUCACACACACUAUUUAAUAAUUGUAGCUCAACAAUUUUAUGUUCAUAGCAGCUAACUGUUAUGAAAUAGUAGACAGUAUAUGCUUGUGCAUGCUCUGUCUUUACCACACACACAAACUUGCGUGACAACCUCGCUCGUGCCUAAAGCUAUCCUGUCCCUUAAGGGCACAUGAACAUGAAAUAGUGUGCCACUCACUUUUCCUUAUCUUAACUCUCUCUAUCUCUCUCUCUCUCACACACACACACACUGUAUGCAGACAUGGUCGAUUCACAUGUGCCGUUAUAGUGUGAACCGCUGACCCAGGCUUUUAGAGAGCAAGGAAAGGAUGCUAUUGCGGUGAAGGGCACAACUUCUCACAGCAAUGUUUCAGCACUUGUCCUGACUGAAGUACUUUAAGCACCAAACUUAACACACACACAUAAACACAUUUGAGAUUGGAAAAGAUUAGUUUCAUUGACUUUGAAAAUAGGUGUUGGUGAUUUGAUGGAAAGAUAUUUUAGUCUCUGUGAAGCAGGUUGCCCAAGACUGAUCACUAAUUCAAAUUUAUGAUUUUCUCUCUUGGAAAAAUAGAGUUUUGUUAAAGAUCUUAUUUUAUAUGAUGAUAAUAUAUCAAAUAAUUUAUAUAUAAU